UUAUGUCAAAUUUGUAUGGAGUUGGAACAGCGCCCCUAGCGGCAAACGUAGGCAAACGUUCCAACUCCAUACAAAUUUAAGUUA
rnacentral:pre_miRNA from 1 species